UACGGAGGGGGCUAGCGUUGUUCGGAAUUACUGGGCGUAAAGCGCACGUAGGCGGCUUUGCAAGUUAGAGGUGAAACCCCGGAGCUUAACUCCGGAAUUGCCUUUAAAACUGCAUCGCUAGAAUUGUGGAGAGGUGAGUGGAAUUCCGAGUGUAGAGGUGAAAUUCGUAGAUAUUCGCAAGAACACCAGUGGCGAAGGCGGCUCACUGGCCCGGUACUGACGCUGAGGUGCGAAAGCGUGGGGAGCAAACAGG
rnacentral:rRNA from 1 species